rnacentral:rRNA from 1 species
GACGAACGCUGGCGGCGUGCUUAACACAUGCAAGUCGAACGAAGAGCGACGGAAGCUUGCUUCUAUCAAUCUUAGUGGCGAACGGGUGAGUAACGCGUAAUCAACCUGCCCUUCAGAGGGGGACAACAGUUGGAAACGACUGCUAAUACCGCAUACGAUCUAACCUCGGCAUCGAGGAUAGAUGAAAGGUGGCCUCUACAUGUAAGCUAUCACUGAAGGAGGGGAUUGCGUCUGAUUAGCUAGUUGGAGGGGGAACGGCCCACCAAGGCGAUGAUCAGUAGCCGGUCUGAGAGGAUGAACGGCCACAUUGGGACUGAGACACGGCCCAGACUCCUACGGGAGGCAGCAGUGGGGAAUCUUCCGCAAUGGACGAAAGUCUGACGGAGCAACGCCGCGUGAGUGAUGACGGCCUUCGGGUUGUAAAGCUCUGUUAAUCGGGACGAAAGGCCUUCUUGCGAAUAGUGAGAAGGAUUGACGGUACCGGAAUAGAAAGCCACGGCUAACUACGUG